AGCUCGAGUCUCAGGAUGGUGUGCCCCAGGAAACACCGAUCCCGGACGAGCCCCCAAAUGAAAGAUCCCCAAAGAGUGACCCUUUCUAAAGUAGCAGGAAAUUGCGGACCCCAGACACAGAGAGACCA
rnacentral:pre_miRNA from 14 species